UUUCUGCUGGACAGCUUCUCAGACACUCUUCCCCCAGCCUGUAGUGCUACAUGAGGUUCUUGUGAGCCAACUGGCAUUUCACCUUGCUGGACCUCAUACAAUUGGCCUUGGUCCAUUGACCCAGCCUAUCCUGUCCAGAUUACCCUGUAGAGCCUUCCUACCCUCCAGCAGAUCAGCACUCCUGCCCAACUUGGUGUCUUCUGUGAACUCGCUGAGGGUGAAUUUAAACUCCUCAUUCAGGUAGUUGAUAAAGACAUUAAACAAAACUGGCCCCAGUACUGAACCCUGGGGAACACCACUGGUGACCAGCUGGAUGUAACUCCAUUCACCACCAUUCUCUGGGCCUGGACAUCCAGACAGGUUUUUACCCAAGAAAGAGUACAUCU